GCGAGAAAGUAUCUUCGGAUAUGAGUAGAGCGGCGGACGGGUGAGUAACGCGUAGGAAUCUACCUAGUAGAAGGGGAUAGCCCGGGGAAACCCGGAUUAAUACCGUAUACCUCCUUCGGGAGAAAGAAGGCCUCUCUUUGAAGCUUUCGCUACUAGAUGAGCCUGCGUAAGAUUAGCUUGUUGGUGAGGUAAAGGCUCACCAAGGCGACGAUCUUUAGCUGGUCUGAGAGGACGAUCAGCCACAUUGGGACUGAGACACGGCCCAGACUCCUACGGGAGGCAGCAGUGGGGAAUAUUGGACAAUGGGCGCAAGCCUGAUCCAGCCAUACCGCGUGUGUGAAGAAGGCCUUCGGGUUGUAAAGCACUUUAAGCAGGGAGAAAAAGUUAUAAGUUAAUACCUUAUAACCCUGAUGUUACCUGCAGAAUAAGCACCGGCUAAUUCCGUGCCAGCAGCCGCAGUAAUACGGAAGGUGCAAGCGUUAAUCGGAAUUACUGGGCGUAAAGCGCGCGUAGGUGGUUUGUUAAGUUGGAUGUGAAAGCCCUGGGCUCAACCUAGGAACUGCAUCCAAAACUAACUCACUAGAGUACGAUAGAGGGAGGUAGAAUUCAUAGUGUAGCGGUGGAAUGCGUAGAUAUUAUGAAGAAUACCAGUGGCGAAGGCGGCCUCCUGGAUCUUGUACUGACACUGAGGUGCGAAAGCGUGGGUAGCGAACA
rnacentral:rRNA from 1 species